UUCCUUAGAUCGUACCCACAUUUACUUGGAUAACUUGNGGUAAUUCUAGAGCUAAUACAUGAAAACAGAGCUCCGACCGGAGACGGAAGGAGCGCUUUUAUUAGAUCAAAACCAAUCGGUGGCGGUACCCCCGUCAUCGUACAACUUGGUGACUCUGAAUAACUUUAAGCUGAUCGCACGGUCUCGCACCGGCGACGCAUCUUUCAAAUGUCUGCCUUAUCAACUGUCGAUGGUAGGUUCUGCGCCUACCAUGGUUGUAACGGGUAACGGGGAAUCAGGGUUCGAUUCCGGAGAGGGAGCCUGAGAAACGGCUACCACAUCCAAGGAAGGCAGCAGGCGCGCAAAUUACCCACUCCCGGCACGGGGAGGUAGUGACGAAAAAUAACGAUACGGGACUCAUCCGAGGCCCCGUAAUCGGAAUGAGUACACUCUAAACCCUUUAACGAGGAUCAAUUGGAGGGCAAGUCUGGUGCCAGCAGCCGCGGUAAUUCCAGCUCCAAUAGCGUAUAUUAAAGUUGUUGCGGUUAAAAAGCUCGUAGUCGAAUCUGUGUCCCGCGCCGCCGGUUCAUCGUUCGCGGUGUUAACUGGCGUGCCGCGGGACGUCCUGCCGGUGGGCUUAGCUCGCGAGGGCGGCCCAACUCAAUCCCGCCGCGGUGCUCUUCAUUGAGUGUCGAGGUGGGCCGGCACGUUUACUUUGAACAAAUUAGAGUGCUUAAAGCAGGCUAAAACUUCGCCUGAAUACGUGUGCAUGGAAUAGUGGAAUUGGCCCUCGGUUCUAUUUUGUCGGUUUUCCNNNNNNNACCGAAGUAAUAAUUAAUACGAACGGAUGGUGGCAUUUGUAUUGCGACGUU
rnacentral:rRNA from 1 species